GGGCGUGAGGGUGAUCUGGCAGUGAUAGGUCACUCCACUGAUAGCCAGGGUGCAUUUGGCUGAUCUGGCUAGCUAGACAGGUGUCCCCUUCCUCCCCCUUCCAUGUGCAUCCCUCUCGUAGCUGUGCGCUCAAAGAGGAUGACCUUCCCAGACAUUGUUCUUCCAUCAAGGAUAUAUGAGAAGCUGCGCACCUGUUAGAACCUCCAAACAAGUUCUCAAGUUCAGUUUGUAGGAGAAUGUAGGGUAGUGAAGAUGCCAGGACUCCAGACACAUCCGAAUGAGGCACCGCAUCUGCCUUUCUUU
ensembl:misc_RNA 7SK 7SK RNA